rnacentral:rRNA from 1 species
CUAGUUGGUGGGGUAAUGGCCUACCAAGGCAGUGAUCUGUAGCUGGUCUGAGAGGAUGAUCAGCCACACUGGAACUGAGACACGGUCCAGACUCCUACGGGAGGCAGCAGUGGGGAAUAUUGGACAAUGGGCGCAAGCCUGAUCCAGCUAUGCCGCGUGAGUGAGGAAGGCCUUAGGGUUGUAAAACUCUUUCAGUAGGGAAGAUAAUGACGGUACCUACAGAAGAAGUCCCGGCAAACUCCGUGCCAGCAGCCGCGGUAAUACGGAGGGGGCAAGCGUUGUUCGGAAUUAUUGGGCGUAAAGGGCAUGU